rnacentral:rRNA from 1 species
CAGCAGCCGCGGGAAUACGGAGGGGGCUAGCGUUGUUCGGAAUUACUGGGCGUAAAGCGCACGUAGGCGGCUUGGUAAGUUAGAGGUGAAAGCCCGGAGCUCAACUCCGGAAUUGCCUUUAAGACUGCCGAGCUAGUAGGUGAGAGAGGUAAGUGGAAUUCCGAGUGUAGAGGUGAAAUUCGUAGAUACUCGGUAGAACACCAGUGGCGAAGGCGGCUUACUGGCUCAUUCUAGACGCUGAGGUGCGAAAGCGUGGGGAGCAAACAGGAUUAGAUACCCCAGUAGUCCCUGUCUCUUAUAU